rnacentral:piRNA from 2 species
UGCCACAGGGUCAGAGCCCAAAAUGC